rnacentral:rRNA from 1 species
GAUUCAUGCCUCAGGAUGAACGCUAGCUACAGGCUUAACACAUGCAAGUCGAGGGGCAGCAUGAUUUGUAGCAAUACAGAUUGAUGGCGACCGGCGCACGGGUGAGUAACGCGUAUGCAACUUACCUAUCAGAGGGGGAUAGCCCGGCGAAAGUCGGAUUAAUACCCCAUAAAACGGGGGUCCCGCAUGGGAAUAUUUGUUAAAGAUUCAUCGCUGAUAGAUAGGCAUGCCG